rnacentral:ncRNA from 1 species
AGAAAACUGAGCCUUAGUGGAGAAAUCCGCUAAGUGGAAGCUCUCAAACUCAGGGAAACCUAAGUCAGCCUCAAUCAGAUACCCCAGGGUUAUGGUUGAGGAGAUAUGGCAAUCCUGAGCCAAGCCGUUUGAUAGCAAUGGCUAUCUGGUUCUUCAAGCGGAAGGUGCAGAGGCCCGACGGAGCUACCCUAACGUCAAGUCGAGGGUAAAGGGAGGGUCCAAUCCUCAAAGCCCGCUGAGGCUCGGAGCAGCGAAAGUUGUGGGAGGGUG